ensembl:lncRNA LINC00923 long intergenic non-protein coding RNA 923
ACUUUUGCUUAGGGCGUGAAGGGGAGGAGUGAAAUCCUUCUGGAAAAUAUAACAGAAUAGCAGUUUUUGCCGGAAUAGCUACUUGCAGAAACGUGGUCAAAGACAUUGGUGUGCAAGUGGCAAAAAGAGUCCUGUCCCAGCACUGCAAGGGGAAGAUAAAGGCUCGUCAUCUGUGCGUGCGUCCAUCUGAGUGGAACGUGUGUCCCGGGGGCUGCUGCCACCGCGCCGGUCCCUCCUGUAAUCCGAGCCCGUGUCAGAGGACGCGGCGCCUGCAAGGAAGAAGGGUUGCCGCAGGUGUGGCCAGAUCCUCUAGGCAAGAGGUGUGGAUUCAGGUCCUACUAGUCUUACUCCUGAUGAAGCUGGGCAAAUCAGUUGGCUCUGGAGUAAUUAGUAGCCCCUUCCUCACUGACCAUUGCAAGAUGCUGCUUGCCUGACAGAGGAAUGGAAUGACUUGCUGAAGGAGUAGCAGAAACACUGACUUGGAGGUGAUGACUUGCAAGAGAGGAGAGUCAUCCUCCAAGAUGUCAGGGGACAAAAAUGAAGGUUAUUGAAAAGAAUCAUGCUUGGUGGAAGAAGUAAUUACAUUUUUUUUUCAAAUCUCAGAGGAAUAAUGCUUUUAUAUUUCCUGCGAUGACCCAAUUUGCACUACGAUAUGCUCCCUUAAAUGUGAUUUAAACAGAAGAGAGGACCACCCCGCCAACCAAAUGUCCAGGUCCUAUUCCAUGGAACCUAUGAACAGGUUGUCCCACAUUGCAAAAGGGACUUCACAGAUGUCGAAGAGCUAGAGAAGAUGCGAUAAUGGAAGCGGAAUCAAAGACAGAUUUGAAGAUGCUGCUGUCUUUGGAGAGAAUGGCCAGGAGGCAAGGAACACAAGCAGCCCCUAGAAGUUGGAAAAGAAACAGGAGUGAUAAGGGGGAACUGAGGACUAAAUUUUUCUAAAGGUCUUCCUAAGGUUCCUGGAAGAAGUCACGUUUAUAAGCCAGAACUUACAUAUCUUUCUGCUGUCCCAAAAUUUUUAAACAAAACUACUCUUCCUUAACCAACUGCAAAUCAGAAAAUCUUGGAAUCUACUUAUGACCUGUAAGCCUCCGCUUCAAGAUACCCCACCUUUUUAGACCAAAGCAAUGACUAACCUCCAUGUAUUGAGGUAUGAUUUUGCCUGUAACUUCUGCCUUCUUGAAAGUUACCCAUACCUUUAAAGACCCUUGCUUGCAAGCCACUGAGAAGAUGGGUCUAAAGUGUGCAUUGCCCCAUUCUCCUUGCCUGGUUCCCUGCAAAUAAAUGCCCUGCUUUCUGCAGUGGCAAACCUCA